UCUAUGCUACUGAUGAUGUGGACGAGUCUUUACCGGAGAGAGGAUACACAACAGAACAGAAAGAAGAUGAGACUGAAGGAUAUAGUCAAUCUUCUGACAAAGGUAUUGGUCAACCUCCUGCUUUGACAGAAAGACCGUUCAAAUUCUCAAAAAGGGUUCUGUAAAAUUAAUGGUCAAGUGAGGCCAUGCAUGUUCUUUUACUGUAACUAAUGAAAAGACUGGGAAUAUGGAGAAG
rnacentral:lncRNA from 1 species